rnacentral:rRNA from 1 species
CAAUAGCGUAUAUUAAAGUUGUUGCAGUUAAAAAGCUCGUAGUUGGAUUUCUGGUUUCGAUACUUGGUCCUUUAGUUAAUUCUAUUGUGUACUUUAGUGUUGAUCCAUUUUUGUGAGAUGUUUAUCUGGCAUUAAGUUGUUGGGUAAAUGAUCUUGCAUCUUUUACUGUGAAAAAAUUAGAGUGUUCAAAGCAAGCCAUCGCUCUGAAUACAUUAGCAUGGAAUAACAUGAUAGGACUCCGCUCUUAUUUUGUUGGUUUCCGAGACUGGAGUAAUGAUUAAGAGGGACAGUCGGGGGCAUCCGUAUUUCAUUGUCAGAGGUGAAAUUCUUGGAUUUAUGAAAGACGAACUUCUGCGAAAGCAUUUGCCAAGGAUGUUUUCAUUA